rnacentral:rRNA from 1 species
AGCAGCCGCGGUAAUUCCAGCUCCAAUAGCGUAUAUUAAAGUUGUUGCAGUUAAAAAGCUCGUAGUUGAAUUUCGGGAUCAAUAUGUUGGUCGUGCCUCGGUACGUACUAGCUUAUUGGUUUCUCCUUUCUGAAGAACCAUGAUGUCAUUUAUUUGGUGUCGUGGGGAAUCAGGACUGUUACUUUGAAAAAAUUAGAGUGUUUAAAGCAGGCUCACGCUUGAAUACAUUAGCAUGGAAUAAUGAAAUAGGACGUUUGAUUCUAUUUUGUUGGUUUCUAGGAUCGACGUAAUGAUUAAUAGGGAUAGUUGGGGGCAUUAGUAUUCAAUUGUCAGAGGUGAAAUUCUUGGAUUUAUUGAAGACUAACUACUGCGAAAGCAUUUGCCAAGGAUGUUUUCAUUAAUCAAGAACGAAAGUUAGGGGAUCGAAGACGAUCAGAUACCGUCGUAGUCUUAACCAUAAACUAUGCCGACUAGGGAUCGGAUGAUGUUAAUUUUUUAAUGACUCAUUCGGCGCCUUAAC